UGUGGUGGAUUCGUCGAACGGUGAAGGGAGCUUGCUCCCGGAACAGUGGCGGACGGGUGAGUAACACGUGAGCAACCUGCCUUUCAGAGGGGGACAACAGUUGGAAACGACUGCUAAUACCGCAUAAUGUAUUCUGAUGGCAUCAUCGGAAUACCAAAGGAGCAAUCCGCUGAAAGAUGGGCUCGCGUCUGAUUAGAUAGUUGGUGAGGUAACGGCUCACCAAGUCGACGAUCAGUAGCCGGACUGAGAGGUUGAACGGCCACAUUGGGACUGAGACACGGCCCAGACUCCUACGGGAGGCAGCAGUGGGGGAUAUUGGACAAUGGGGGAAACCCUGAUCCAGCGAUGCCGCGUGAGGGAAGAAGGUUUUCGGAUUGUAAACCUCUGUGGACAGGGACGAUAAUGACGGUACCUGUCAAGAAAGCCACGGCUAACUACGUGCCAGCAGCCGCGGUAAUACGUAGGUGGCGAGCGUUGUCCGGAAUUACUGGGUGUAAAGGGAGUGUAGGCGGGAAGGCAAGUCAGAAGUGAAAAUUAUGGGCUCAACCCAUAACCUGCUUUUGAAACUGUUUUUCUUGAGUGAAGCAGAGGCAAGCGGAAUUCCUAGUGUAGCGGUGAAAUGCGUAGAUAUUAGGAGGAACACCAGUGGCGAAGGCGGCUUGCUGGGCUUUUACUGACGCUGAGGCUCGAAAGCGUGGGGAGCAAACAGGAUUAGAUACCCUGAUAGUCCACGCCGUAAACGAUGAUUUACUAGGGUGGUGGGGGGGGAUGAACCCUUC
rnacentral:rRNA from 1 species